rnacentral:rRNA from 1 species
AACAGGAUUAGAUACCCUGGUAGUCCACGCUGUAAACGAUGUCGAUUUGGAGGUUGUGGGCAUGACCCGUGGCUUCCGGAGCUAACGCGUUAAAUCGACCGCCUGGGGAGUACGGCCGCAAGGUUAAAACUCAAAUGAAUUGACGGGGGCCCGCACAAGCGGUGGAGCAUGUGGUUUAAUUCGAUGCAACGCGAAGAACCUUACCUACUCUUGACAUCCAGAGAAUUCGCUAGAGAUAGCUUAGUGCCUUCGGGAACUCUGAGACAGGUGCUGCAUGGCUGUCGUCAGCUCGUGUUGUGAAAUGUUGGGUUAAGUCCCGCAACGAGCGCAACCCUUAUCCUUUGUUGCCAGCACGUAAUGGUGGGAACUCAAAGGAGACUGCCGGUGAUAAACCGGAGGAAGGUGGGGAUGACGUCAAGUCAUCAUGGCCCUUACGGGUAGGGCUACACACGUGCUACAAUGGCAUAUACAAAGAGAAGCGAACUCGCGAGAGCAAGCGGACCUCACAAAGUAUGUCGUAGUCCGGAUUGGAGUCUGCAACUCGACUCCAUGAAGUCGGAAUCGCUAGUAAUCGUAGAUCAGAAUGCUACGGUGAAUACGUUCCCGGGCCUUGUACACACCGCCCGUCACACCAUGGGAGUGGGUUGCAAAAGAAGUAGGUAGCUUAACCUUCGGGAGGGCGCUUACCACUUUGUGAUUCACGACUGGGGUGAAGUCGUAACAAGGUAGCCGUA